UACAGAGGUGGCAAGCGUUGUUCGGAAUUACUGGGCGUAAAGGGCGCGUAGGCGGUUCGUUAAGUCCUGUGUGAAAUCCCCCGGCUCAACUGGGGAACUGCACAGGAAACUAGCGGGCUUGAGUUCGGGAGAGGGAAGCGGAAUUCCGGGUGUAGCGGUGAAAUGCGUAGAUAUCGAGGAGGAACGACCUGGCGGCGAAGGCGGGUUGCCUGG
rnacentral:rRNA from 1 species